GAAUGUUUCAUAGACAGAUAGAUCAUGGAGAGACAAAGCAUAAUAUAAGGUAUUGCAAGAUUAAGAUAGGCAGAGAGAUGGGGCUAACAGUUCAGGGGAGAGGCAGAUGGGCAAAAGAAACUGGAGAGAUUAGGGCAACAACAAAAAAAUGAAACAGAUGGGUAUCAGAGCGGGGAGAAGACUGAGCCACAAUCAAGUAUCCUACCCAGGGGCAUGCAAAGAGACAGAUGACUACGCUGGAGUGAGAUGGAGACUGAUUUUGACGUGCAGAAAAGUUGGGAGUCCAGAUGAUCCAGAAGAGGCCGACCUUCCAGGCUUUGAGGUCGCUUUAAUAUCAGCCAUUGAAGGAGGAUGACAG